ACACCUGGAGCAUUUCCUGGCAGAAGGCGCGCACCGAGCGCAGCGAGGCGAGGUCCAGCUCCCGGACUAUGAGCUCGCCCACCCCGCUGACGCCAGGCUCUGGGCCGCACUCCGCGGCCUGGCGGAGCUCGCGGCGGAGCUGACCCGCCGCCUCCUCGGCGCGCGCGCGGUCCCGGCAGCCCAUGAUCACCCGCGCUCCCAGGCGCAGUAGCUCGGCGGCCGUGGCGCGGCCCAGGCCGCUGUUCGCCCCGGUGAUCAGCACAGUCUUCCCGUGCAUGAGGCCGGGGUCCCCGCCUCUGCGCAGCCGCUGGACCCUGGGCCCCACGAACCGGCGGGCCGCCAGCCACAGCGCCCCGCCCAGAGCGGCCAGUACUGCCGCCGCAGUGGCCACUGCCAUCGUCAGGCCCGAGGGCCCACCGGCCCCUCCACGGGAGUUCCGCAGCCGCCGCCUUACCGGAACCCAAGAGACCACCUGUACGCGGAGAACGCUGGGGCGCGGCGGGUCGGCCCCUGACGGUGCGCGUGGGGCAUGCUGGGACUUGUAGUUUCCCUCUGGGGGGGUCGCCUGAUUGGUUGUGAGAGUUCAGCGCCCUGGGUCCUGCGCCCUCCGUGGAAGCUCCUCCCAGCCUAAUGAUGGAGGCUGGGCAACCAGCACAGUGUUCAGGGUGCUGGGGUUCAUACGUAUUGAAAUCCCAGAGUAGUGGCGGACUUCCCCAUGGGAAUGUCUGAUGAGUACUUUGAAUCACAGAUCUCUGUACAGGCCCUGUUACAAAUGCCACUCCUCAGGGCAUUUCGUGUGUUUUCCUUUGAGGGCUCUUGGGACUUGUAAAUUCAGUUCAAUUCACCUUCUGAGGAAUGGGCCCUGACAAGCUGAAGUCUGAGGUAGGACUGUUUUUCAUAGAUGAGACAAAGAAUUAAGCAACAUGAAUCAGUUGGAAAUAGAAUGGUCGAGUAGUUCUCAAACUUAAAUGCACAUCAGAAUCACCUGGAGGACUUGGGGUGGGGGUUCGGGGUGGGGGAAUGAAACAAAACGAAAACAAAAAACCAGGGCCCCAGUAUUAGAGUUUCUAAUUCAAUAGGUACAGGAUGGGGCCUGAUAAUUUGCACUUUUAACAAGUUUCCAGGUGCUGCUGCUGCUGCAGAUCUGGGAACCACACUUUGAGAACCACUGAACAAGACAUUAUGUCAUUGGUCCCUAUUAAAAAAAAGAAAGCCAUCUUCAAAUGAUCUUCACACUGGCAGAGCCAUAAGCUGCGAUGGAACCUAACCUCUGUGCCCCUUCAAUGUGGAACAUGUGGUCAUCAAAGAAGAUGUGGGGCCGGAUCUUCACCAAGAUGGGACUUUUGGGGGCUCCAGCAAGGAAAAGAGCUUCGUCUAUCUCUAGACCCCAGCGUCGAAGGGUCUUCAGCACACGGGCGCCUGAACUGGCUGCACUCCUAGCUGUAACCAGCCAUCAUCCAUGGAAAGUCCAGAUUAGCCUCCUGGAUGGAUUUGUGAGAAGCAGAGCCUCUCCUCCAAGCCAGAGAAGCCAUUGUGUACCAGCUCGCCCUAUUAGCAUACCAUGUGCCCAGGAGUAAACAGGUAAUUGUGGGACCACAGACAGAUUAACCCAUCACCUAAGGUGAGGCAGCUGAGCUGGGAAAACCAGAGGUCUAUUUAAUUUCCUCAUUACUUUUAUAGUGAUUGAAACAAAAAGCUAUUUAUUUAUUAUUGAAGAGAGAGGUUCUCAUUCUGUCACCCAGGCUGGAGUACAGUGGCACAAUCAUAGCUGCCUGCAGCUUUGAACUCCUGGGGCUCAAGCAGUCCUCCUGCCUCAGCCCCCCAAGUAGCUAGGACUAGAAAUGGGUGCCACCAUGCCUGGCUAAUUUCAAAAAACCAUUAAAAAACAUAAAUAAAAUGAUGUGCUUGGGAAUGUGAAGAGUGUGUGUGGGUUGAAAAUGAAUAUUUCUUCCAAUGAACAGCAAUUUAAUAAAACUGAAAAUUCUGACAUUUUCUUGCUAGUACGGUUGAUAGCUGUCUGGUUCAUCCAGAUGGUUGGUAACAGACUGCUUGAAGUGAGAAUCCCAAAUGAGGUAUAAGCAGUGAGUGAAUUUUUGCAGAGUGGUGCCGAGUGUCUUAGAGUGCGGUACUGAUGAUGCAUUGUGGGUUUAGUAACCAGCUGAGGUCCUCGGUACCUCAGGUGGUGCAGUCCCAGGACCCAGGGGUUCAACACAAAGCAAAAAGCACUUUGAAUGGGAUGGGGCAGGUGCUGGUAAUGAAAGAGAGUGCCUCUCUUCAUUGUAUCAUGAGUUCUAUGACAAGACUUUCACCAACCAUGUAAGAUAUUAAAUGAGAUAAUACAGUAUGCUCAGCUGGAAGGAAAGAUAAGGGCUUCUCUGUAUUAUGUAUCUGUUCUUUUGUAAAGUCUGGUCACCAUAAUACAGGGAAAUCCUUACCUUCUUUUUUAGUUGAACAUCUCAUAUGCUAGUUAAUCCUCAUAUCAAUUUCAUACAGUGAUAUUAUUUUUAGGACACAGAAAGAGAAACUGAGGCACAGUAUGUCAAUAAGUUGGCCAAAGUCAUACAGGCACUCCGUGAAAGAGCUGAGGUUUGUAUAAAUUCUGUCUAAUGCCAAAAGUGAUACCUUCCACUCUGUGAUAGCCACUCUGUGAUACCUUCCAUUCCUUUGCCCUUUCCUGUCCUCCAGUUUAGCUCUUGGCUACUUUGCUCAUGCUGUAACCUUCUCCCCAUGCCUAAAAGGCCCUUUCUCUUCCUCUUCUCUCAACAUGUUCUCAACAAGAAAACAUGCCAGCUUUCUUGUUGAUGACUCAUAAGUUGGAUAAUCUCUCCUAGCACCAUUUUACUACCUGCUUUCCACAUACUAGUGACUCCUCAUAAUCUUUGGGGAGGACAUUUAAUUUGUGAACAUUCACUGCCCUUUAAUUUUGACUUCUGGUUGCAUUUUAGUAUUCUUUUCCAAUGGACUGCCUCAUAACCUGUGCAACAUCAGCAUCCAAUCACUGUAAAGUGUGCAAAUGUCCCCAUGUUUUUUCUGGUCUAUAUCUAUGCUGGCCCUGAUGUUGGUAUAAUUCCCAGAGGGUCUUUUACAACCUCUUUUAGGAAGGCUUCAUUGACAGCCUCAGGCUAGGUUUAUGCUAUUUCUUUAUGUUCACCUAACACUGCAUAUUUUACUCUGUCAAAGGACUUUGUGAUUCUCUAGUGAAUUUUUCAAUUUACUCAUCUAAUUUUCCAAUUAUAUUGCAAAUAUUGAAAGCAGGAGCUAUAACCAACUCAGCUGGUUACCCACAGUGCUUAGCAUAGGAACAGCUAAUAAUAGGAAUGUAGAAAAUGCUGAAAAAUAAUGUGACUUGAGCCAGGCAUGGUGGCUCAUGCCUGUAAUCCCAGCACUUGGGGAGGCCGAGGUGGGCGGAUCACGAGAUCAGGAGAUCAAGACCAUCCUGACUAACUCAGUGAAACCCCUUCUCUACUGAAAAUACAAAAUAAUUAGCCAGGUGUGGUGGUGGGUGCCUGUAGUCCCAGCUCCUCGGGAGGCUGAGGCAGGAGAAUGGCGUGAACCCGGGAGGUGGAGAUUGCAGUGAGCCGAGAUCGCACAACUGCACUCCAGCCUGGGCGACAGAGCAAGACUCUGUCUCAAAAAAAAAAAAAAAAAAAAGGUGACUUGAAUGUACUAAUUUCUUUAACAAAAUGUAGAGAGACCUAUGAUGUGCAAAGCCCUAUGCUAGACUGUAAGAAUGCUGAAGCCAAAAAUAUGCUCACUGCUCUUAAGUGGCUCACAGAUAGCAGAGAACCUGAUAUUUGAAUGGAUAUUUGGGGCAAUGUCCCAUAGGUUAAUGUAAGAGAAUGUUUGCCACUGUGGGAACUCAGAGGAAAAUGCCUAGGAAAUGAAGAAAGCUUUUUUCUCUUUAUUUUAGAGGACAUUCUAUUCCAUAGUCCUGAAGAGCCUCUUUUGCAUUUAGAUGGAAAUUAACAGGUUAUCACCUAGUGUUUGAUAUUAUUAGUUCUCGCACUAAUCUUCUUAAGUACAAGUCUUGGUCUGUGAUCUUGAGCAAAUUAUUUACUCUCUCUGUGCCACAGAUUCCUCAUUUGUAAAAUAGGAGUAAUACACUGCCAGGACAAUCAGUUCCAUCAAGCAGGGCAGGGGCUGAGAGUUAUGCUGCUGGCCUUUCUUUCUCUGGGUCUUCAGUUGGAAUGUGGCUGGCCCAUGCUGGUUUUGUGUUUAAAUGCUGUACUUAUAACAAGAAGAAUCUUUUUUUUUAAGCUGUAGAUUUAUAAAAACUGAUCAUAUGCUGUGUAUACAGAAAUCUCAAGAUGGUAGAGACAUGUAUGAAUGUACUAAGUAGUAGUACUAAGUAUUCCACCAUGCUUAUUGGUAAGGUAGGUUUUAUUGCAAAACUCACACUAGGUACUUACAAAUGUAGCCCACUUCUUUCCAACUAUGAAAACAGUGUCACUACUUUAUGGUUCAGUCCCUGCAGACCCUUCUCAACGCUUUUCCUAUAGGUAAUUUUCUUCUGCAUCCUUCCUCCUACCUCCUACAUAAAAAAAAGAAAUCAGUGAACCCAAAAUAAAUAUGAAUAAUAAAUGUAUAUGCCUACCACAUAGGAUUGUUGUAAGGAUGAAAUGUGGAUGUCUUGAUAUCUUAGAAUGAUAUCUUGCAUUCAAUAAAUGCUAGCAUUAUCAGUCUUUUCAUUACAAUUAUUAUUGUUGUCCUCAGCAAACCAGCGAACUCCAUAAUUCUGGGACAGGCCUUUUCAAUGACAUGAAAAUAUAGAGUAGCAGCUCCAGCCCUAUAUUUAUGUUCAUGUUUGUGCCAUAGAGAUUUGUGAGGGGGACACACAAAGUGAGAAAGAGAUAUGGAUUCUGUUUGGAUUCCUUGGGAGAACAUGCAUUUUUUAAGAGCUGGAAACUUAAAACAUAAAAAACAAAGAUAUCCUAGAAUUUGUUGCUCAAGGUUCUGAAGAGACUUCUUAAAUUUUGAGAGCUGGAAAGAGGGGAAACAUUUAUUCUUUGCGACCUAAUAGCAGGAGAACUGUCAUGCUACAAUUCACGUUUCUCAACUAGAUGAGAAAAACAGGCUCAAAUACUUUCCAAUGCCUUGAAUGUUUAGUGAGAGAUGUGAAACUGGUAGAGUCCCCUGGUCCCUGUUUGUAGACUCAUUAUGCUUUCUCCUGGAAUGUUCUGAAUUCCUCUUAAACUCACAGAGAUUGGUGGAUACAGUCUUGGCUCAUCACAGCCAAUUCCAGCACACAUCUCCCUCUGGGACUUGGGACUUCUGAACAAAUGGCACAUCCAGCUGCAACCUCUUCUUCCAUUCUCCCCCAACUCCACAUUCAAGUCUUGAAAAUUACAUUUUCUACUCUUCAAUCAACUCCCAAAUGUAGACUUCCUCUACCUUUUGCUUUAUAUCUCCCAAGGUUGCAAAUGUAUUUCAUUCCAGCACUGAAACAAUUUAAAAUAACUAGCAUAUCUUGCCUGGAGAGAGAGGGCUCUUGGUAGCAAUCUCCCUGUGGUCUAUCCUACUAUUUCUACUUUCUUCUUGAUUUAGAGUCUGUCACUGUGAAUGGGGACCCAUUGUUCUCGGGAAGAAAUCUGAUAUUCUCAAGUAGCCCUCGACACCUUCACUGGCUGCCUCCCUUUUCUUUCUCUGUUCUUGCCCACAGCCUCUGAGGACUAACUUCACACAUUUCCCCCAUGCUACUUGGCCUAAGACUUGCUUUGCUCCUCCAUGCUGGCCUCCCCCAGCCCCCUCCUGGUAACCUCAAGAUGUAAAAUGCUAUAGUGUCUCUGGCUUGGACUCCUUAUCUGGCCCCCGAUUCUUUCCUUCUCCCUCUAAGACAUUGAAGAAGAAGAAGUAAUGUUCAUUUAUAAUGCCUAACUUCUCUAACUUUUCCUUCCAGUCUCCUUCAGAUGACAUUUUUGCUCAUGCUGCCUUACAAAUGAAAUGUCCUUUUCUCAAUUGCCCUAGAAGACGUGACAUUUACCCAGAAUUAGUUGGGAUUAGAUCCUUAGAUUGUUGCAUUAGAUGAGAAAUAGUUUUAACAAAGUUGGUGAUGGGUUGUAUAUCAAAACAGAGAGAAGUGGGAGGCACUCGCUGCUUUCGAGACAGUAUCCUCCUUCCACAAUGGAAUUUUUGGCAAGAUCUUCAAGUUCUUGAGUUUCUUUUUCUCUUUCCUUCCCAGAACUGCAGGAAAGAGUAAUUUUUAAUUAUUUAGGCUUCUCACCACCACCACUUUAUUGUCCUACAUGCUUUGUAACAUGCUGUAGAUGAAACCUGAAUAUCACACGAGGCUUCAGAAUCAGGAAAAUGUGUUCAAUGACUAUUCUAAUUCCUCUCACCCAGAUAUUAAGCCAUGUUCUUAAUAGUAUCUUCUAUUGGCUGUGCUUUUAUAUAUCUCCAGAACACUUUCAGACACAUUCUUAUUUGACUUCAAAAGUUGGUUUAUCUACUUCCUGUCCAGGGGUUGUCUUCUGAUUGAGUGGCUACAAUGUGGUCAGAGGGACAUAUACCUUCACCUACCAACGUGACAAAUCAAAACCAACAGACACAAAAGACUUAGGUACACGAUUAUUUUUGGACUAAGUACUAUGAAUACGAACCCAAAUAGGCCUAGUUCCUUCCUUCAAUGAGCCUGCAUUCUGUGCUGUCCUCAGAAUACUUGGGACCCACUUCUGUUGAGUUUAUAGAAAUGUGUGUGUAUGCAAGGCUGGAUUUUUAUAAAUUUCUCACUUACAAAAUGAUUUUUAUAAAAUGUCUCACUUAUGCUUCUUCCUUUUAUAAUAAUACAAGCCACAUACUUUAUAAGACACUAAAAAUAUUUUAUGAAUGGUUUUUGAAACCAAAUAUAAAUGUGAUUAUUUUACAGUAAAGUUCACAUCCAGGUUAUGAGGAAUUAAGAGACUCUUGACAGAUAGUCUGGAUGUUGGGAUGUGAAUAUAUGUGAAUAUAUAUAAAUAAAUACAUCUACAUGUGUAAAUUUAUAUAAAUACGCACAUACAUGUAGAUCUAUUUCAGGGUAAAUAUGGUAAGUAAUGCAUUUUGUUUGAAUAUUUUGCUCUCUUUGUAGAUAAAUAAGUGAGUUUUGUUUAUCCUAGUAAAGGAGUACUUCCUAAACAGGAUUCUAUUCAUUGCAGUAAUAGGGAACUAGUGAUUCUAAGUUGGAGAACUGGUGUGUCUACUGUCAUCACUUAUCACAAAGACCUUGGUGUAGGAUAUGCUCCUGGGAGAAGGCUCAUAGGGAGAGAGAUUUUUGUGAUGGAGUAAUCCAGAUGUUUGAACAGCUGUAUUAGCAGAGUUGUUUGGACAAUUUUACACAAUAAUAUUUUGUGAUCAAGUUUUGUUAUGUGAAAUGGCCAUUGUUUCUCAAAGUUCUUUUACUCAGAAACAGAACAUGAAUUCAUAGAGGGUCACAAUUUAAUUGAGAAAAUGAAAUAUAUCCUUCUGAGAUGUUACACUAAAACACAAAUGGCUUUUGCUCCAUCCCAGACAUUCAUGUGAAACAAAGCAUUCUGCUAAAGAAGAAACCCAUAAGGACUUUUUAAAAUAGGAUACACUUUGAUUGUGAUCCAAGGAAGAACUGAUAGUGAGAGAUUAAAACAUUUCCAGGGAAAUUUAUAGCUUCCUGCAUUUUUAAGGUUACUUUAUGUCUUUACUUAAUGGGCAGGCAUAAUUUAUAUUUGCCAUGGCAGAAAGACGCAUGGCCAGAGAUUUUCUCUGCUACUCAGGAUCUUGGUUGAUUUAAGAGAGGAGAUGCUAUCUCAUGCAGUACCAAAUGGAGCCAAGACCUGUACACUUCACACAGCAGCCAAGCCUGUCUAUAUAUGUUGACACGUUUUAUAGGCAGUACUUUUCUGAGCUCUUGAUCAAGAUCAGAAUAAAAAUACAAAUAAUAAUAAUAAGAUAAAAAAAAGGAUAGGAAAAGAGGAGCAGGAGAAUAAAGUGAAAUUGCUACUGUGCCAGAAAUGCUAAGAUUAGCAUCAGCAAUUAAUAAUCCUAGGGCUUCUGUAAUUCUAGAGUGUUCUGUAAUUCUAGAGUGUGUGUUAACUAGAGUCAACUCAGCAAAUGUUUAUGGAGACCAUGUGCCAAGCAUUGUGCUAGACACUGAAAGAUUAGAAAGGUGAAUCAGACUCACCCCUCUAUGAUCUAGUUGGGACACUCUCCUAUGGGAAUUAUUGCCAAGAAAAAAAAAGACAUUAAAUGUGACAGAGAAGCACAAAGAAAAAUACUAUAGGAACAAAACUCAGAGAUUCUGCUUGAUUUAGAGAUUGGGAAAGCCACAUGGAGGAAGAGAGACAUACAAAGGAUUUUACAGGAAGUGUGAAUUCUGGUGAAUGGAUAUGGAAAAAAAGACAUUUUUGCUUGCACAAUUUGUGGAGAUGGGAGUAUAUAUAUAGCACUGGAGGAUGAAGAAGUCUGAGUACGUGGAAUAAAGGAUGCUUUACGGGGACUGUGGCAAGGAAAGUCUGGGUCAUCAUUAGUAGAAUCUGUUCUCAUUAUUAGUAGCACUAGAGUGAGGUUUGCUCUAGUGUGGACUUAGAAUAGGCCAUACACUAAAGCCUGAUGUAGGUGGGCACUGGUUUGAAUCCCACCUCCUGCUUUGUUCCAGUUCUCCAAGCCGCCAUCCUAUGGUUCAUUCUGCCAUGAGCUUCUCUUUAUGCUGCAAUAGAUUUUAGGGAAACUGAAAUGACCUGUCAAAGAGAAGGAUCCCCUAACGGUGAAAAGGCCAGGUAACACGCUGAGCCGAAGGGGAUGCCUGGGUUUUUACUUCGGUUCUGUUCCAAAGGGACCAUCCUUGGACUGUGCUUAUCUUCUCCCUCCCUGGAGGCUCCAGAUCCUUUUCAUUUGGUUUCUAGACAUAAGUUGCCUUUAAUAUGGGCUUUAGGGAUUUGGGCUUGAUCCUGAGAAGUGCUAUGAAGUUGUGGACAAAGACUCUGGCUCUGUGAGAGUUCUGCUUACUGGCUAUAGCCUAGAAGGGUGCAGUGCUAUGUGUAUAAAUCAUCAUUGUACCCUGGUACCCAUUAAAAUUAUUGGACUGAGAAUCAUUGGCUUGGGAUUUUGUCUUGGUUUGACUAAGACUGAGCUUUAUUACCUUGGGCCAGUUACUUAACCUAUUUGACCUCCAGUUUUGUCCUUUGUAAAAUUAUUUGGUUCUACUUGAUCUCCAAGUUUUCCUCCAGCUCCAGUUUUUACUGUUGUUCUACAAAGAAAUUCGGAUUGUAUGGCUUUUAAAACAUGAAUAAUCCAAGAGUGGCUGAAGUUUCACAUUUCAUAUUGACUUUUGUGUUAAAUUUACUUUUAGCUGAUAUACUUCAAAUUUGAUAUGAAAUGGCAAACAUUAAGUCAUUCUUUCCUUGCAAGUAUAAUUCUAAUGUAAGUCAUUAAUCCUGCCAAGGAGGGAAAAAAGUCAAAUAUUAUUGUAAACAAACAGCUGAUGGGAAUGCCAAGUUUAUUUAAGUUUUGAAAAUCUUUGCAGAGGAAGUAGUAUCCUGUAGUGAUUAAAUCAAACAGCUAUAUUAGGAAUUCCUUACCAAAAUCAGGUAUUUACAGUAAAUUUUGCUGUGGAAUGUUGGCUGGUUUCUAUACAGUUCUGAGGCUAUUUUGCUUCAUCUUGAAAGUAGCAGGGUAUUAAAAUACAGUACCGUGAACAUUUUACCCUGAAGCUUAGCUGCCUUUUAUUUUAGGGAGGAAAAGGUAAAAACUUUGGAAUAUAGUUGUGUAAUGUAGCAUAAUGCAGUAUAAAGAGGAAUGCUCACAUGUUUAAUGCCCCACAAAUGGAACUUCAGAAAACCACAGUAGCUUUUAAAUGGUGCAUUGCAAGAAUAAAAACAUGAUCCAACCCUGAAAGCAUUCCUGCUGGGUGGCUAGAUGUUACUGCCUUUUAGGCCUGACUUUUCUCAGGGGUAAAUCAGACCUUGUACAGCCUUUUAUAGAGUGAGGCCUAGAUUGUUCCAUUAUGCUUAGGAAAAUAUGAAAAACGAGCUAAGUGUUUCAGCAAUUUUUUAAGCUAAUUGAAUCAGUAAGGCAGAAGCCAAGAGUGGGAGAAUUUCUAAUUCUGGUCCUUUGCUUUGGGCAAUGAUAUUAGAAGCUAAUGCAUAAAGUAUGAGUUAUGAAUGCCUGUUUACUUGUGUGCCUUCCUAACUAAACUGAGUUGCUUGAAGAAAGGGACCUUGGCUUGUAUAAAUGCAUAUUUCUGUCUGUGGUGACUAGUACAUAAAUGGACAUAAUGGGUCACCAGUGAUUAUUUGUAGAAUAGAAAAAUGAAUUCAAUAGAAAAAAAUCUUUAGAGCAGAGGAAAAUAACAAAAGCAAUACAUGAAUGAGAAGAAGAAUGAGCAAAGAUUUUCGGGAUAAAUAGUGGGAAUUAUUAGCUUUGUGAAAUGAAGGAUUCCUCGGUGCUUGUUAGCUUUCCUUAAUGUUCUGUUUAAAAUGCAUCCGUAUUUAUUGGACCCUUAUUUUUACAAUGGGAUGAAAUCUUGUAAAAUUGGGGUUUUUACAUUUCAACAAAGAUAGAAGUUGAUUCUAGAAAUUAAAUACAAAUUAUCCAAAGUGUCAUUCUUUGGGGAGCAGUGUAUAGGAUGGGGUUGUCUCCUGGGACCUUUAGAUGCUUCAAUUUGGCCCAUUAUACAAAUACAAUUUUUACUACCCUUUUAUUGACUGUCUUUAAGUUGACAUUUUCAUACUAGUUUUCUGCCCAUCCAUCCUGCAGAAAAACGGCUUGAUGUAGUGUAGAGAGAGAAUAUAAGAGCCCUGGAAAUCAUUAUAUUUGGCAUUCUGGAGUACAGGGUGGGUUCAUAGAUCAUAAUAUAUUUGUGUGUGUGUGUGUGCGCGCACGUGUGUGUCUAUGUGACUGACUUAAUACUACAUAUUAACAAUGGAAAUACCCAAAGUGAAAGAAAAUUAAGGAAAAGGCAUUUUAUUAUCCGCUUUCUGAUAUUGAUUUACAACGUCAAAGCAAAGACACAGGGAUUGGUGAGAUAUUUAGCAAUCAAUUUUCUAUCUGUUUUUCAGUAUGUUGCUGGUUUAUAACUCGUGUCUUAAAAAUUAGUGUGUGAUGGCUGGGUGCGGUGGCUCACACCUCUAAGCCCAGCACUUUGGGAGGCCGAGGCAGGCGGAUCACAAAGUCAGGAGUUCGAGACCACCCUGGCCAACAUAGUGAAACCCCGUCUCUACUAAAAAUACAAAAAAUUAGCCAGGCGUGGUGGCAGGCGCCUGUAAUCCCAGCUAUUCAGGAGGCCGAGGCAGGAGAAUGGCUUGAACCCAGGAGGCGGAGGUUGCAGUGAGCUGAGAUCGCGCCAUUGCACUCCAGCCUGGGCGACAGAGCAAGGCUCUGUCUCAAAAAUAAAAAUAAUAAAAUAAAAUAAAAUAAAUUGGUGUGUGGUUUAAACACAGAUUUUACACUUUAAAUUGAGACCAUCAUCUCAGUUUUGAAGUAGGAAAUUCCUAAGAUAACUUUACUUUGUAAAAAAUGAGGUCUCUCAAAUGGUAGACAAUUAAUCCCAAGGCUUUAAUUGUCAUCUAAAAACAUAAAGAAUAAAGUGUGCCAUUUCCUUUUUUAUCUUUUCUUUUGGCUUUGUUUUAGAGAAAAUAAUUUUCUUAUCAAUUCUGCAGACAUAGUGCUAGCUUAUAUCUUAAGAGCGGAUGCUAUCAGUUUUAGUACAUUCGCUGAAGUUAAACUAUCUACAUUGAGUAGGAGAGGGGAGCUCUCCUGGCAUUAAACCCAAACAGAACCUUAGUAAAAUUUAUAAUAAAUCCACUUCAUUAUUGCAUUAUAUAAAUGGUUUUAAUCCUAGAAAUGGCUAUUAAUGUGGUGUCCUCUUUAUAUUUUGAUACCAUAAACAUAGAAUAUGACACAAAAUUGGAAAAAUGGAAUUCAUUCAUUUGAAUGUGUUGCUGUGGUUUUUUUUCUCCCCUGGCUAUUCUAGAGGUUAAAGCUAAGGAAAUGUCUCUAAUUUUGAUGUUCAUUUGGUGCAAUCUAAAUAUGUUUCUUGUUAGCGGCGAUUAUAUGGAAAUAAAUUUUAUUAAAUAUUUAUUUUUGAGAUUAGAAUUCUUGAGCUUCAGGCACAUUUGAAAUCAUUACUUAAAGGUGGAAAAAGUUACUUUAUAGAUUUUAAAGCUGGAAAUGUCCCUGAUUCAAAAAAAAUGAACUUAUUCUGGGUCACCCAAAAUACUUUAAAAAUUUCUUUUAACAACAGUUAUGUAUUGAAUACUACAAGAAAUGGGCGGGGCUUGACUGCCUUCAACAGGUGCAUAAUCUGUUCUCUUCUUAAACCAUCUCUCUAUCCAAAUGUCAUGUUAAGGGCUUUGGAUAUCAUUCUUCUGGGCCAUAACAUCCUGUUUAUAUGUCCAUCCCCAAAUUAAUUUUCUUCUAUUAAUUAGAACAAAAUAUUGAACUGUGUGUUUGUCUUCCCAACCAGACCCUGAGAUCUUCAAAGUCAAGAGCAGUGUUUUGUUCAAUCUUAUGUUCCAAGAAAAAAAACACAUACACACAUGGAUCUUGACACUAAAUACUUUAAACGAAUCCCAUACUUUGGGCCAUUAGAUUAUUUCUUCUGUCUCCCAUUUUGCCUUAUAUAACAUUGCAACAAAUAUUUUUUCAUAUAAAGCUUGGUUUGCUUUGUGAAAUUUUCUCAAAUAUUCCUUGUAUAAUAAUAAUAAUAAACAUUUACAUUUAUAUUUCGUGUUUUAAUUAUAUUGCUAAGUACUUCACAUGUGUUACAUUAAUUAAUCCUCAUAGUAACCUCUAAACUAAUUACUAUUUUCUUUUUACAAAUGAGUAACCUGGUAUUUGGAAAUUAACAGUUCAUCCAAGACCACACGGUCAGUAAGCAAAUCCAAAACUAUCUGAGCCUAAAGUCUGUGUCAUUAUACGUUAUGCUAUAUUUACUUAUUUUCUGGUAGUGGAAUUAAUAAGUCAAAAUUAAGAAUAAUAAAACUAUUAGUUUUAUUAAUGAAUACAAUAAAGAUAUAAGAUUCUUGAAAAACUGAAUGCUCUACAGGAAAGGGAACGUGACGUUUUGCUGCAGGUGUCAAAGCUUUGCAUGGGGAGCUUCCUUAGCACUUGACAUGUGUGCCUUCCUAUGUGGUCCUAAGGAGAGUUCUGUACAUGCGCUGAGCUGGAAGAACAAUGCAGCAGUUCAGCACUAUAGAUCAUUCUGGCCUCCAAGUUGUUCUAACAUACCUUCUUGACAGAAAGUAGAUCAGAGAAAAAGGUGUUCUCUGUUAAGUGACACCAAGAGCACCUAAUGAUCCAAAAACAUCUCACUCUUGUGGCAUUGAAGCCAGGAUGUCAGCUUGGUCCAUGCAUUGAUAUGCCUGGUGUGUUUGUGCCUUUUCUGAGAAACAGUGGGGGCUGCUGCUUUAUGCUAGCCAAGGACACAACUGUGGAACACAAAUAUCAAUGUAUCUCAAGUCAGAAAGCAAGGAAAGAAUGAUUGGCCCAAGGAAGCUAGGUGACCAGUGUAGACCUUCCAGAAUUAAUCCCUGUGUGACCUAUAUCUGGCUCUGUCUGAGGAGGAUGGGCCAAAAGAUUUGCUUACUCAGCGCUUUUUCACAUUUGCCCAAAUCUCCUAAUAAAUGUAGCAUACAUAAUAUAGCAUAAAAUGUCCUUAGUAUGGUAUAUUGGAAUGAGGAGACAAAGACCUGUGUUAGCAUCGUGGAGUAGUGUUCCUAAGUAAAAUUUAUCUUCUGCACAGAGACUUCAGUUUCUUCAUUUAUAAAAUGAGGAGGCAGGGAUAAGAUAAUCUGUUAAAUUUCUUUCCAACUUUUGAGUUGUUAUCAUGGUGAGUUCUAUAAUAACAUUUAACAUUAAGAGUUCUAUAAAUAACAUUUGGUUCUGAUUUAGACUGAAAGUGUGUUCAAAUUCUUGCUCUACAACUUACUAGCAGUGUGUCUUUGGCCAUGUUACUGAACUUUUAUGAACCUCAGAUUCUAUUUCUGUAAAGUGGAGCUACUAAUACUUUUUAUUUUUUGUGGAAAGACAGCUCAAUGCCUAGCACAAAGUCAUUCUAUGAGAAAUGAAGACAUGGUAAUGAUGAUGAUGCCAUCAAUGAUUCUGUUUACCCCAGUUUUUCAUAAACAGUCACAUCAGAUGUUCAAUGUCAGUGUGCUGUAUAGUGUAUGUAUUAGUUUCCCAGGGCUGCUAGUAUAAAGCACCAUAAACUUUGUAGCUUAAGCUAUCAGAAAUUUAUUCUCACAAUUUUAGAGGAUAGAAGUCUUAAAUCUAGGUGUUGGCCAGGCUGGCUCCUUGUGAAGGUUCUUGGGUAGAAUCUGGGCUAUGCCUUUCUCCUAGCUUCCAGUGGCCGCUGGAAAUCCUUGGCAUUUCUUGGCUUACAGUUACAUCCCUCAAAUUCUGCUUCUGUCUUCCAUGUCCAUCUUCCCUCUCUGUGUGUAUUAGAGUCCCCAUGUCUUCCUAGGAUCUUCUUAUAAGUACAAUAGUCAUUGAUUGAGGGCCCACCCUAAUCUAGCGUCACCCCAUUUUAACUUGAAUACAUUAUUAAAGACAACUAUUUCCAAGUAAGUUCACAUUCUAAGUUAGCAGAGGUUAACACUUCAAUGUAUCUUUUUGGGGAACACAAUUCUACACAAAAUAGUCUAUGGGGAACUGUACAAAUAUAAAGCAGUGAAGUUAUGAUUUCUGAUAGUGAUGAUCACAGGUUAUGCAAAAUCAGAAUAUAAACGAGUGACUUAACUAGGUUACCUUGAUCUCUCUAUAUGCUCAUUGCUUAUAGAAAUCAAGUCAGGGAGGAUUUUGGUUACACUCCAUGUCAUAGAUCACUAAAGUCAUCCGAGUUUUCCAAUUUUGGGGAAUAGUCUGUGUUCCUAAAUGACUUUUGAUUUCCCCCAAAAUUUGUGUCUUGGCUGUCUUUGGAAAUGGUGACUGCUGAAGACAGUGAAAUUAUCUUUGAACUCAAAAAUGACCCAUUAUCAAAACGACUACUAAUUUUGUGUCUGUCAGGCUCUGAGUCAGAUGAUUUAUUCUUAUUCAGUGGCUUGCCUCUGGUGUGGCUCCACCUGCUAGCUCAGAACUGCUCCACCUGCACCUCGGCCCCACUGGCAAAAGCCAGGUCCUAAUGCUGCAUGACAAAUCGCAGCACCAAACUCAUUUACUUCCGAACCACUGAGCAGGAAUCCCUUGAUUUUAAACCCAUCAGCAUCAUGCCUUCAAUUGCCAUUUCCUUAGCAAGUGUGAAUUUGGGGGGGGCAUAGUUCUCAAAACCCUCAAGAUGUACCGUCUCCACAAGGAGGCCAAAUUAAUAUGACAUUUAGGAAGGGCUCUAAGCUAAGAAAAACAUCUUUCCUAGGAACCUCCAAGUAUCUCCCUCCCCAAACACAUGAAUUUAUGAUCCCAUGUGUGAGUUACAGGGCCAGCAGAUGAUGAUAGCUGACAAGCUAUCUUUGAUUUAUUUUCUCUUGUGUCCAAAACACUCAGAAAAUAAUAUUUUGUUGUUCGCCAAAUUGGAACCUUAGUUCUACCGAUGAAUGCCUAAGCUUGCCAGAUAUCUACUGUUUUACUGUCUUCUUCUCCAAUAAACAUAUCUGAAAUGUUGUCUGCAGAUCUAACUUUCAGGAUCAGCAUCGUUCCAAGGUCAGGGCAUGGCACUGAAGCUGCCUUGUUUCCAUUGAGGAUUGAUGUAAUUUUCGCCAUUCCCCUCUGUUCUUUUAUGAAAUUCUGGGAUUAUUCAGCCUUUUCUAGAAUCUUAAAUCUAUAUUUCUAUCUAUCAUUUAUCUGUUGACCUGCUUAUCUAUCAUCUAUCUGUGAUAUUACGUUAUUUCUUUGAAUAUAUAAAAUAUUAAAAUUUUGAAUAGACAAAUUUGAAAGACUAGAAAUAUAAAUGGUGGUGGAUUUAUUUCCAGAAAUAAUAAGCAUCUUUUUCUUCUUGAGCUUCAAUUUCCCUAAUUUCCUUUUGUUCUCAUUAUUCUUGAACUCCUACAUUCAAUUAACCCUUGGUUGCCCUACUAAAUUUUAAUCUUCUUGAUGUUUUACUUAUUUUCUCCAUCAUGGUAUAUUUUUCCAGAUUCCUGCUCUUUUUGCCUUUCUGUCUUCAUUCCUCUCUCCUUCUCUCCUGUCCUCCAUCCUUGUCUUCUUAUCUCUCUUCCUUCCUUUUCUACCUCUUUUAUAAUUCAAAAAGAAUGAACGUGUAUAAUGAAAGAAGUAGAAGAAGGAUAAGAGAAGGAGAAGGAGGAGAAGGAUGAGGAGAAGGAGGAGGGGGAAUAGAAGAGAGAAGUGGAGAGAGACAGAGAGAGAGACAGAGAGAGAAAGAAAAAAGGCAUAAGGGAAAGGAAAAAAAGCAUAAAGUGGUAAGAUGAGAAGAUGGGAACAGGGAAGAAGAAAAUACCUAAAACUACAAGGCCUAACAUUAGUGGACAAUGUAUUUAGCACUGAAUGCUUGUCCAGUGAACACUAAAAGGGAAAUAUGACUAGUUGCAAAAUAUACACUGCUGCUAAUGUAAAAUCAUACCAUUUGCUUAACAAAAUGGAAAAAUAUUACAGUUUGAAACUACAGUAAGAUAAAGAUUUCUUAAUUGAAUAUCAGCCCCUAAAUUGGCUUUUAACAACCAAAAGUUUUGAUGUAAUAAUUUCAAUUCAAUGGGAAGUGAAGCCGACGACUUCACUGAGGCACUGACCGCCCAAUGCAAAGCUGCAUCUCCAAGAAAGGCUGCAGGAAGGCUCAGUUGUAAGAACACAGAAUCUAGAGUUCCAAGACCUAGGCUUACGUGUUUUUAUCACUCACAUGUUCUGUGACCUCAGGCAAGCCUCCUUGUCUCUUUGUCUCUCAAGGGAAUAAUGAAAAAAAGUCUCAUAUACAUGCAAGUGUUAUCAUUAGUUAUUAAUUAUUGUCAUCACAAAUUGUUAUGUUCCAAAUACACUUUAAGUCUCAGAUAACACCAUUUUUCAGUCUAUUGUAACAUUGUUAAAAUAUUUGAUUCCAUUAAGUUAAUUCAAUAUAUUGAAUAUUUCAUGGAAAAACUUUAAGUGCUUUUUAAAAAAUGUUCAAGGGCUUUUAUUUUCUGGUUUUCAGGUCAAAUUUUUGGUUCACAGAUGUUACAAAAAUACAUAUGGAGGGCAUCCACUGCAACAGCUCAAUAUUCUUUUAGAUUACGUUUUAAGAAAAAAAAAAGAGAACAAAAAACUUACAACAACACCUGUUAUUCAGCAGAAUUUGACCUGACCCCUUUCUCCUUUUCUUGUUAUUAUAAACAUCAAGCUCUUUAAGUGAGAGCUGUUUAAAGGACUGAGGGUUGUGAGUGUUCCUUCCUAGAUCCCAGAUGCAUUGGGAGACGGAUGGGCUUUUUGAUCUUUAUUUUAUGAGUGUCUGAUAAAUUGCCUCUGGCACCUGGCAACUGAAAUUUCACUAUCUGAAAACUAACCCUCAUGUCAAACAAUGUGACCAGCCUUAGCCUCUCAGUUGAGGAUCUCUGUAGCUGGGUGGAGGAUGCCUUCCACUUCCUGGUCAGGUCUACCACCAUGCUCAGGGGUUUACAUACUUUUAAUUUCAGAGGGAAGGAAGGAUUAUUAAAGGGCUUUAUAUGCUAUGCAAAAAUGUGCUUUUUGAAAGGUUUCAUCAUAACUCCCAUUCUAGGAUUUUUGAAUAAGUCAAAUAGAGACUUCAGCCCACUGUCUGGCCUGAAAAAAAAUGCUGGUAACAGGAUAAAGAUUUGCAACUCUGGGUCAUGAGCCUCUUCUCACUAGACUCCAUCUGUGUGUUGAUAUAAGAAGAAUGCAGGUGGUCUUUUUCUAGGAACAGCAAAGCUAUAAACAAAGUCAUCAGCUCAGACUAUUAUCACCUUUCUUUUAACAUCUUAUCCGGGGCAAGAUUAACUCAACCCCAAGAAAGGGCUCUAUAGUUUUCUCUGUUUACAGAGAUUCAAAUAUGCAGAUAUUUUAAUUUUUAAGAAGAUAGAAAAA